CCCUCUCUUCUGGAAGCCCCUCUGCAGCACUCCUCUUGGGAGUAGAAAAGGAAGUGGUCAAGGGAAUGGGGUUUCGCCGUGUUGUCCAGGCUGGUCUCAAACUCCUGGGCUCAAGCAAUCUGCCCACCUCAGCCUCCCAAAGUGCUGAGAUGACAGGCAUGAGCCACUGUCCCUGGCCCAGACCUACAUUUGGGAGCUGAUCCGUCUUGCUCUCAGUUAGGGCCCAGCCCUUCUGUGGGGACCAGGAAAAUCUUUGCUCACCUGGAGAAGCUGCUGGUUCAGCCCAACUUUAUCUAACGCCAAAGCCUCAUUUAAGGCACUGAGCUUGACAGCUGCAGCCCGAAGAUCAGCUACUUCUGUCUUCAGGGUGUUUUCAGAACUCGACAGCUCUGCAAUUGACUGCUCUGCCUAAAAAACAAAAAGGAUUAAAGAGUUUCAUAUUUCCAAUUUUCCUGGAACAGUAAACAGUUCACAUUCCCAACA
rnacentral:lncRNA from 1 species